CGCGCAGGCGGCCAGGUCAGUCGAAUGUGAAAGCCCCCGGCUCAACUGGGGAAGGUCGUUCGAUACUGCCUGGCUCGAAGAUAGGAGAGGGAAGUGGAAUUUCAGGUGUAGUGGUGAAAUGCGUAGAUAUCUGAAGGAACACCAGUGGCGAAGGCGACUUUCUGGCCUAUUCUUGACGCUGAGGCGCGAAAAGCUAGGGGAGCGAACG
rnacentral:rRNA from 1 species